CCGGUCCCCUCCAGGGCAGCCGGGGAAGAGCAGAGCCGCCCCUGCUCGUGGGCAUGCUCGGCCUCAGAGAAGGCCCUGCAGGGCGGCCUGGUGCCGUCGGGCGUCUGCGGCCCUGUCACGGGGGCUCCCCGCCGUCCGUGUGUAGCCCCCAGAGGUGUGUCCGCCGCAGCCUCCCGCAGGGAAGGAGGGCCGUGGGCCGAAGACCGCACUGCCUGCCAGGGAUGGGGUGAGGACCCUAGUGCUGACCCAGGUCCAUGGAACAGGAGGCCGUUGGUCACCUUCUCCCAAGCCAGAGUUUAUCCUGGAGAUUUCGUGGUCACGAGAAGAGGUGCCCACUACAGUGUCUGUCUCAUGGUCAGGGCAUCUACAGCCCUCCCAAUUUCCUCUCCCACCCACCGCGUCCGUUAUUUUGAGAAAGUGCUGCUGCUCCUCCAAGCUCUGCAUGUGACCUUGGGCCCUCACCCUUCCCACCUCCCUAGGACCUCAAGUCCUCCUACACAGUCUUCUCCCUCUUAGGUCGUCUGUACUACCACUGCGUCCACCGUGUCCACUGGAAGGCCUCUCUCUCCAUCUUGCCAAUUUCCUAGUAACUUCUGGACCUUCCUGGAGAGUUCAGCGGAGCUGACCUGCCCUCACGGUUGUGUGCUCCUCCUGAGGUUCGCUGCAGUGGCUCAGGGAGAAACUGACAGCCCUAAAGCGGAAAGGAGGAGCAGUUGUUUCUGAGGGACUCCUGCGGUGUCACUCUAGCCCCCAGCCCCUGGCUUGUACCUCCGCUGCCUCCUUGGAUGUCCAAGAGGCAUCUUCGACUUCACACGUCUAAAGACUGGAGGAAGAGCUGGGAGGCAGCAGAGUUGGGUCCACCUUUCCUUGGGGUGAGCAGUCGGCAGGACCACGCUUCAUGCUGGUGUUCACACCCCAGCACUGAACGCAUCAGCUAGGAACGUGUUUGGCACCUCCACAGUUCAAAGACCAGGACCAGGAUUCAGGUCUGUGAGUAAACUGCCGCGCUUCAGCGGCUCGAUGUCUGCCUUCUGCGUGGAUCUGCCUGCGAUUGUAUCUGAGUUGUGAAUUUUGUUUUGUUUGGUUUGAAUUUGUUAUGUUUUGUUUUGUGGUUUAUCAGGUAAAUCAGAAGUGUCAAAUGUUCUUGGACAAAUCUGGAUGAUGAAAAAAUAUGAAUCCUGGGACAUGAGAAAAUUCGUAGUUUGGAUCCUUUGUAAAUAGUGUUUUGGGGAAAUGCGACCAGUGGAUGAAGUGGUGUUGAAUAGCCUGGUCAGUCAUUCAUAAGCUUUAGGUAUAGGAUGGGGACUUGCAAAGUCUCUUACUAGACCUUCAAAUUUGAGAAGUUGUGCAGGUGAGUUUAAGUCUUGUAGAGACACAUGAAACAGGAUUCUGUGAUGUCCAGGCCUGAAGUGGAAUUGAGUCUUGGGACUGUGACGACCUGCACGCUGUGUGUGUGGCUGCAGGUCUUGCCCGUCAUUUCUUUUGCAGCUCCCAGCAGUGCCUGGUUAUUUCUGAGAACCUUUGGAUUUAGAUCACCUGUAACAAGGGAAUGCCCAAGGGCCUCUCACUUGCACUUGUAUCUUGGUGAAAUUUCUAACAACUCUGCUCCAGCUAUUCUAAUAAAGCAUCAGCGUCUUUAGGAGGGCUGGGCUUGCUGUGUACGUUGGCACACACCUGUAAUCCCAGCCAUAUAGGAGACUGAGGCAGGAGGAUCACAAGUUUGAGGCCAGCCUCAGCAACUUUGCAGGGCACUAAUUAAUUUAGCAAGACCCUGUUUCAGAAUUAAAAAAAGGUCUGGGAUGUGACUCAGUGGUCAAGUGCCCCUGGGUUCAAUCCCCAGUUACCCCCUGCCCUAAAUAAAAGAGUGCUGGGAUUCUGAGUUGGGGGCAGUAGACAAUGGGACGAUGGGGUGUUGUGUGCUCCCAUGUGCCCCGCCCCCAUCCACAUGUUAUCCCUUUCGGCUCUAUGCCCUGAGUCUGCCUCGCUGGCUCUAGUUGAGUUCAUCCUUGGGCCAAAGGGUCCACUGUGAUUCUGACAGGUGCUGAAGCAUGUAACCUUGCCCUAGCUCUGGCUCACUCUGGGCUCUGGUGUCAUUAUUCCCUCUACUUCUGCUCUGGGACUCUCUUACCUAGCCUCCAGGUCCCUGUCCACCCUUGCUGCUGGCUUCACAUUGCCCACACCUCUGUAAGUGGCUCCCUCAGUUCACAGGUUUCUCUUGAGUGUGCCAUCUGCUUCCAGCUGGACCUGCAAGUGACACAGAUGGCCCUAGGCCUGGAUGCACGCCGUCAUCCUCUCCUUCUGGUUGGCACCAGGCCCAGGCCAGCCGCGGUCCCACACUGGGGGAGGAUAAACGGCUCAGCGAUUUGUAACAUGCCAUGAGCUACCCAGUUUCUCAGUGCUAAGGCCAUCGAGGCUCUGUGCGGGGAGAUGGGGGCCUUCCCUGGCCCACCCUGGAGGGGACCAGGGUGCAGGUGGGCUUUAGCAGAGGAGCAGGCUUCGCUAGCCAGAAAGAAACCCUUUGUGCAGCAGAAGAGUUCCACCUAAGGUAGACACACACUUGCAUUUGCUUUCCAUCCCCCCAGCUUGCUCUCACUUUGUGUCACAUGGCUGGAUUUUUGAGCGCCAGCUAAACUUUCUGCUGAUGGCGGGACUGGAGGCUAUGGCUAGCAUGAGCCAGUUUGGGGAAAGGCCAGCUGCUUAAGAAUCAAGAAAUGCCUGGUCUUCUUUUGCUCUGAUUCAAGGUGAGGGGAACCUGCUGGGGUGGUGGCACAUGCCUGCAGUUCCAGCUCCACGGGAGGCUGAGGCAGGAGGAGCACGUGAGCCCAGGAGUUAAGAAGCCAGCCUGGGCCACAGAGCAAGACCUCAUCUCAAAAAAGAAUUGAUUAAAAAAAGCAAGGAACCUAGUAUUUACUGGUCUCCGCUUACCAUGAUUGACCAAUUCUUUUAAAUAUUUUUCUUUCAUCCAGCCUUGACAAAGUUCUGUGAAGUACAGGGUGUCAUCCCUGUCUGUGGAGGCAACCUGCCCCACGGGGCACUUACAGGAACUGAAUGAGAUGUUGCAUAUCAAGGACUUGGAAUAGGGCCUGGCAAAGAGAGGACAGCCAGUUGGGAACUUUCCUUUUCUGAUUGACUCUCUCUCUACACAUAUAUGUAUGUUUUCAGAGGGGGUCUUGCCACGUUGCCCGGCUGGCUUCAAACUUACGACCCUUCUGUCUCAGCUUCCUGCGUAGCUGGGAUUCCAGGUGUGUGUCACUGUGCCCCAGGAUUAGAGAGUAUUUUAAGCAACUGUAUUUGGUUGUGUUUUGGAUUUGGGUGAAAGGAAGAUGAGAAGAUGAGGAAAGGUGUUUUCUUGGACUAAUUUCUAAAUGCUUGGCAUUUCUCUGUGGUUAGUUUUGCUGUCACCAACACCUGGUGUCACUUUAUGGCACUCCUGGGCCAACUCUUCCGUCACCUCUGUCAUGACGAUUGAGCUGGGCUGAUCCUCAAGCCUUCUGCAGGGAGGUUGCAGAAUCUAGGAGAGACCGGAUAGGGCCCUUGCAGGGUAGCCCGUGGCAGAGGGAGCCUCUGCAGGAGGUGCCUGUCCUCCAGCUUUUUCAUUUCUUUUUGUUCCCAAAUGAUUGCUGUGAAGUUGGCAAAAUUGAGACAACAUUUUGUAGUCUCAUCACUGGACUGAGAUUUCUAAAAUAAAUUGUAAAAUUCUAAAUCCCAUCUGUAAUUGAGGCUCUUGGAGAAACUGGAAAGUGACUGUCCCAUGAGACUCCGGUCAUUUCCCUGAGCACGUGGGAUGCUUCUCAGGUGGGUGGGGACAGAGGUGAGUUCACACCGCAGGCCUACUGAGCAGACUUAAGUGUGAGCCCCUUCCAGUGAGAAUACAACUUCAUCAGAAAGUGCUUUAUAAAACAGUACACUUGGCAAUUUUUUUUAAAAAGACACAAAAAAGAAGUACUUGCCUCUUGUUAUUUAGUGUUAAGAUGGCAACACUCAA